CAUCCAGNGAAUUUAGCAGAGAUGCUUUAGUGCCUUCGGGAACUCUGAGACAGGUGCUGCAUGGCUGUCGUCAGCUCGUGUUGUGAAAUGUUGGGUUAAGUCCCGNAACGAGCGCAACCCUUAUCCUUUGUUGCCAGCACGUAAUGGUGGGAACUCAAAGGAGACUGCCGGUGAUAAACCGGAGGAAGGUGGGGAUGACGUCAAGUCAUCAUGGCCCUUACGAGUAGGGCUACACACGUGCUACAAUGGCGCAUACAAAGAGAAGCGACCUCGCGAGAGCAAGCGGACCUCAUAAAGUGCGUCGUAGUCCGGAUUGGAGUCUGCAACUCGACUCCAUGAAGUCGGAAUCGCUAGUAAUCGUAAAUCAGAAUGUUACGGUGAAUACGUUCCCGGGCCUUGUACACACCGCCCGUCACACCAUGGGAGUGGGUUGCAAAAGAAGUAGAUAGCUUAACCUUCGGGAGGGCGUUUACCACUUUGUGAUUCAUGACUGGGGUGAAGUCGUAACAAGGUAGGCGUAGUGCU
rnacentral:rRNA from 1 species